GAGUACUUUCCAGAACCUCUCUUGCCAGUGUCCUUGUCCCUUGGUGAGCCACAGCUGCCCCCCGCCUCUGCGGGAGACUCUCCAACACUAGCAGGAGCUGCACUUGGAUAAAAUGCUGUCUCCUGAAGCUCUGAACAUCACUUCUCUGGAUAUUGUGCUGCUCCAGGUGUAUGUGUGUGCUUUGCACCCCCCUGGAAGAGUCAGCAUCAGUGGUUGGUCUCCUCACAUCUGUGGAUGAAGAACUUGUCUUUUACAUCAUCUGCACUUUAUUAUGUCAUGCGAUAAGAGUGAAGCCAAAGUUUUGGAUGAAGAGCAGCCAAAAGUUUCUUAAAAGCUGAGAACAAGUUAUGUUCCGAAUGCCUGACUUUCUGAAAUGAAUAUCAAAAAUAGCCACUAUGUACAUUACUCUGGAACUGCAUUCCUUUCAUUGUGAGAACUUGUGUUUUUGGAAAGGAGUGUUGCUAAGUUAAAAAUGGUGUUUGAAUCUAGCCUCCUACAUAAAUUAGCAGAGCUGGCCUCUCACAGUAUGGUGGGUAUCACACAGGCUCUAAGAUCGUGCACUCUCUGAC